UUCGAUGAUGGCAUGAAAUCUUUGAGACCUGAUUGUCUAAUUUGAUGACAACUACAAGCAUUUUUUUUCUGAGGAU
rnacentral:snoRNA from 1 species